rnacentral:rRNA from 1 species
AGUGAACGCUGGCGGUAGGCCUAACACAUGCAAGUCGAACGGCAGCACAGGAGAGCUUGCUCUCUAGGUGGCGAGUGGCGGACGGGUGAGGAAUACAUCGGAAUCUACCUUUUCGUGGGGGGUAACGUAGGGAAACUUACGCUAAUACCGCAUACGACCUACGGGUGAAAGUGGGGGACCGCAAGGCCUCACGCGAUUAGAUGAGCCGAUGUCCGAUUAGCUAGUUGGCGGGGUAAUGGCCCACCAAGGCGACGAUCGGUAGCUGGUCUGAGAGGCUGAUCAGCCAGACUGGAACUGAGACACGGUCCAGACUCCUACGGGAGGCAGCAGUGGGGAAUAUUGGACAAUGGGCGCAAGCCUGAUCCAGCCAUACCGCGUGGGUGAAGAAGGCCUUCGGGUUGUAAAGCCCUUUUGAUGGGAAAGAAAUCCUGUCGAUUAAUACUCGGUGGGGAUGACGGUACCCAAAGAAUAAGCACCGGCUAACUUCGUGCCAGCCGCCGCGGUAACAC